UACGUAGGGCGCAAGCGUUGUCCGGAAUUAUUGGGCGUAAAGAGCUCGUAGGCGGCUUGUCACGUCGAUUGUGAAAGCCCGAGGCUUAACCUCGGGUCUGCAGUCGAUACGGGCUAGCUAGAGUGUGGUAGGGGAGAUCGGAAUUCCUGGUGUAGCGUUGAAAUGCGCAGAUAUCAGGAGGAACACCAAUGGCGAAGGCAGCUCGCUGGAACGGUACUGACGCUGAGACGCGAAAGCGUGGGGAGCGAACAGG
rnacentral:rRNA from 1 species